CAGCCAGACGAUGAGCACAUUGCAAACUAUUCUUUCGUGUUUUACUAAAGGAUACCGUGUGCUCGUUGCAUAUAGUGGCAUACAGAAAUUUUUGGAGGGAUACUUCAGUGGAAACCC